rnacentral:sRNA from 12 species
GUUCGAUUCGAGCGCAGCGAGAAAGCGUUGCCGCAGGCAACGACCCGAAGGGCGAAGCGCGCAGCGCUGAGUCAUCCUUCCCCCACCACCA